CAGCCAGGGACACUUAACAAGCAGCAUGAUCCUGGAAACCUAGCUGAACCAGCCUCUCUCACAAUGGAUAAAAGCCCUUCUCAGAUGUGUCCGCCUCCUGUCCUCUGACACCACUACCACCCUGGCCCUGGCCCUCAUCACCUCAUGCCUAGACUAUUGCAACAGCUCCAUGGUUGGUCUCCCUGCCUCAAAUCCAUUUCAUCUACCACUCAGCCGUCAAAGUGAUCUUC